rnacentral:rRNA from 1 species
GACGAACGCUGGCGGCGUGCCUAAUACAUGCAAGUAGAACGCACAGUUUAUACCGUAGCUUGCUACACCAUAAACUGUGAGUUGCGAACGGGUGAGUAACGCGUAGGUAACCUGCCUGGUAGCGGGGGAUAACUAUUGGAAACGAUAGCUAAUACCGCAUAAUAUUCAUUAUUGCAUGAUAAUUGAUUGAAAGAUGCAAUUGCAUCACUACCAGAUGGACCUGCGUUGUAUUAGCUAGUAGGUGAGGUAACGGCUCACCUAGGCGACGAUACAUAGCCGACCUGAGAGGGUGAUCGGCCACACUGGGACUGAGACACGGCCCAGACUCCUACGGGAGGCAGCAGUAGGGAAUCUUCGGCAAUGGACGAAAGUCUGACCGAGCAACGCCGCGUGAGUGAAGAAGGUUUUCGGAUCGUAAAGCUCUGUUGUAAGAGAAGAACGGGUGUGAGAGUGGAAAGUUCACACUGUGACGGUACCUUACCAGAAAGGGACGGCUAACUACGUG